CAAACAUCACAUGCCAUAACUUCAUGAGAUGCUAUGUAGAGACAUGGAAUUUAAUGCGGGGCAGUAGCACAAAUUCUUGAUGAGGAAUUUUACCAUGGCAAUGAGAAGUUUAGAUCUCCAGGAUUUGAACCAAUUGCCUGCUACUAAAGUGCAACUGUACAAAUGUGCCUUAGUGACAGUGUCACCGUACUUUAGAUUAGUUGAAAAUGUUGAUCUUGAGGUUUCUGGGGACAUUCAGAAAUUGGAGAUUACGCAUAAAUGCUGUUCUUGUGUUUCACCUGACAUUGUUUGUCUUGCAUUCAGAAUUCUCUCUCCCUGUGGUGACAGUUGGAACUUAGGUUGGUUGCCACUGAUCUUGUUCACGUGCAUAUUAAAAUUUACCAGAUAGAAUGUGUGAUGGUCUUUUUCUAAAUCCACAGUGCCAAUUUCAUUGUGUUAUCAUUUUCGCUUAUGAAAAGACUGCUAUCACAGAAGCUCUUACAGUAGAGUAAAUUUUGGAUUAUCUGAUAAUGCUGGCAAAUGCAGAGAAGGUGCUUAAAGUGUACAUUAUAAAAACUAAUUAAGGUGUAUUGUGAUAGCUGGUAUAUGACCUAAUAUCCAUGUUUGCUGCAGGUAACCAGGCCCAAGUUAAGUGUGGUAUUCAUGGGGCUAAUGUUAUUUGGAAGUUGUAAAAAUUUUCACCAGAAGUACUCCACAAAGAGAAAAUUAUCUCAUAAAUAUAUUUGUACUGUUUGUAGUAUGUUAAUGAAAGGAGAAGUUUCAGUGUGUGGACUUUAAUUGAAUUAUCAUUGUGUUGAACAGCUUGUAAUGUGAAAGGGGUUACUUUGACAGUUGUUUCCAGUAUCCUUUCCUCAGCCUCAUUGAGAGCCCACUUUGCAGUCUCACCUUUGGCUCUGUACACAUUCCUCCCCAAAAAAUAGGAGAGCUACUAUUCUCAUAUUUGCACUUCUUUUUAUGGGUUUCAGUUUUGUUUGAGUGUGGGUUUCAGUUUUGUUUGAGCUUCCACAGGCCUUAGUCUUCAUGAAUCAAUCAUGUAAUGCUGUGAUCCUUACAGCUUUCACCUUGACUGUAUCACAUUGCAUUGUUCUUCAGGAAUUUCAGUUAUCACUCUUGCGAUUGUUAUUAACAGCUAGUAACUCAUGGUGUUUUGAUAAACACACAGGAGUGCAGUGAAGCAAAAUGAGUAAAUAUUCUAAGGUUGUCUGCUAACUUUCAGAUAAAAAUGAUUAAGAUGAUACAUGUUCUUUGAUCUUUAAGUAGUUCCAGCCUUCCAAAACUUCACCUGCUAAUGUCAGAUGCACGAUAAUAAAUGGGUAAGUGAAAAUUUCCAUGUUAAAAGGAUCUUUGUUUAUAUUGUGUAAGAACACAGUUAACCUAUUGAUGUCAAUGUUGUAUAUAAAUGUAGAGAAAGUACAAUCAGCAAAAAAUAUGUCUGUUCCUACAAGAGGGUGCUAUGUCCUUGAUGUGCUGUAUGUCAUGUUUUAUGAUUACAUUCUAGACAUAAUUUAUAGAAACAAAUUAGACUGCAGUUACAAGAACACAUGCAACAUAUUUGAUAGUGGGAGGCAGCAUAUGCAAAACAAAAGGACUGACCAAAUGAUCCUCUUCUAUGUAAAUUGCUGUAAACUGUAAGAGCAAAGAUUUUAUUUUUGUUAGAUUGAAUGUUAGGUUUUUUCCAAAUAUUGCUAGGAAAUUACAGGCACAUUGAAAACUUUCACACAAGAUGGAAAUGUAAAUGAGCAGUAAGGUAGGAAAACACUUUCGUCAAAUUUGUGAACUUACUUUAAAACAGGCAUUAAUGAAAGGUUGUUUUUAAUAUACUUUUCUUGUAAUUGUAAUCUGCUUGCUUCCUGUUUAUAUUCUGUCAAAUGUUUUUGAAGUUGCAUUUUGUCAUGCAGUGAGGUAACAAAUUUUAAAUUUAAUUGUGAUUUAUGUAUUUCUUUCCCAAUUGUGAUGCAGACUGUUUCUAAACAGGGCACCUCAUUCACAGAAAAAAAGAGAGCAAAUUAUACAGAUGUCUUAAUUAUAGUAUGGGGAAUGCUGUGGAUUGGAGGUAAAGCACUUACCACACAAUUAUUAAAAAAAAUGGUAAUUGAGUCCUGGAGAUAAAAUGACAGUGAAAUAUAUGUUGCAAUAAUAAAUCUGUCAACUAUUUGUAAAAACUCGUGCAUGUUUCAAAGUCAGAGCUAGGUCUUGAGGCCUUCCCGUAUCUUAUACAGCAACUCCCUUGCUUUUUAGUGAGGUAGCUGUUACCAAUGAUGGCUGGAUUAUUUAGUUAGUGGGAAUACAAGUGUGGAACAAUGUAGCCAAACAAAAUGUAAAAAGUGUUCUGUGAAUAUUGUUAUAUGCCAUCAAACUAAAUAUAGUGACAUUUCUUGCCAAGGUAACAUUCAAGCCUAGGCUCAGAACUCAAUGUUUGAAUGGAUUUGUCUCUUGUGACUGUGUAUGUUAGUUCUAUCUUGGACACAAUAAGUAAACUUUAUUUUUGCUGCCGAACAUGCCUAUUCCAUUUUGAAGUGGAUGUAUGUCAUAUUAUGUAAAAAUAUUUCCCAGAAUUAUGAAAGAAUAUUACCUUUAUCCUCAUUGCUUAUUUGCGGUCCCAAUUAUAGUCAGCUACUGCAACAGAAUGCAUUCUCCUUCUAGUUAAACUUGCACAGAAAUUUUAGUAGUCUGUUUUGCAUGUCUGCUCCUCACUAUCCAAUUAAAUCGGACUAUAAAUCUUUAAGCAAGUUCCAUGCAUCAGUUGGUUUUAAACAAUCCAUUUCAUGUGCUGAAUGUUGCUCUUUCUGUAUUUGGUACCAACACGUUAUUCAUCACUUCCUCUUUCCUCAUGAAAUGUUUCACUUUGAUUUAUUUUCAAUAUAAUAAUCAUGCUGUGUGGUUGUCAUUUUUGCUAAGCAUCGAGCGGUUCUAGGUGCUACAGUCGGGAACCGCGCGACCGCAACGGUUGCAGGUUCGAAUCCUGCCUCAGGCAUGGAUGUGUGUGAUGUCCUUAGGUUGGUUAGGUGUAAGUAAUUCUAAGUUCUAGGGGACUGAUGACCUCAGAAAUGAAGUCCCAUAGUGCUCAGAGCUGUUUGAACCAUUUUUGCUAAGCAUUAACAAAGUUUUUUGUACAACAUCCUCAUGUGCUUUAAAAAGCAGCUCAUUGCGCGACAAAAUUUUUUUAAAAAUAUUUAUUAGUUGUGCACCAUUUGCACAAAAUACGUUGUUGCCAAGAAUGUUGAAGCAUCACUUUCUGAAUCAUUAUUUCUUAUUUCUUUACUAUGUAUAUUCUCUCUCCAGACUUUUAUCUUAUGGGGGUUAAUUAUGAGACUGAAUGUGUCCUGGAGGAAAGCUUUGGCUAAUUGAUUAUGAUUCAUAUUUGUUAUUAGAGAAGUUUUUCUUUCGUACCAAAUUUUCAGUACUUAGUCGUAUCACACAUUCAAACUGUUUUUCGGUAUUUGUGUGUUCCAUAUAAAUAUAUGUGUUUAGUUCCUAAAUUUGAGUUUGAGAUGAUAAUGUGCUAAAAUAAAAUGUAGUCAACCACUUUCAUGAACUGCGAACAUGAAGAGAUAAAGGGUUUCACUGGUAACAAAUACAGCGCUCAUUAAUCAAAUUCUGAUGUGUGCCAUGCGAAGAGUGAUAUGAGUAAAGCCAAGUGCUGUACAGAGGAAAGUGAACAGUGGAAUAUGUCACCCAAACGUUUAUGUGCUUAUCCACUGCUAAACUCUUCCUCUGCAUGGGGAAAGUUCUGUUGUACAUGCCAAAAUAAAAAGUGGCUUUCUAAUUUUUUUUAUUUUUUUGUUCUGUUUCAUUCACCAGGUUAUUUUGUUCCAUUUGUUGCUAUUCUAAUACAAGACUUUUAUGGAUAAUUAAAACAAAAAGUGUUGCUUCAGUUACAUAAUGCAAAUAAGCUUUAAAUGUGCAUGAAGACUUUUGGAAUACAUACUACAUAUAUGUGAACUGCAAGUGAAAUAUUCAGUAUUUUUAUAACAUUUUGAUGCUUCUUGGAGCUCAUUAGCAAAAGAAAAAAAUGGACUUUUAGUAAUAUGCAGUGCAUGUGUUAGUCAUAUUCAUAAUUUUUUUUUAUGAGCCUAGAUAAGACUACUGUUCAAAUGAUUCCUGAAGGGGCAUUUGUUACUGGCAAUAACCUUUUCACAUUUUAUAGGAGACAAAAAUGACUGUUACAUACAUAGUUGAUUGCUUCCUUGAUCUUUUCCUGAGCCAUUGGAGAAUCAGAGAUGAUGGAUGCUUCAUUACAGGAGACAAAAUGUGCUUCAACUAAGAAUCAAGAGGGCAACACUUUCUCACAAGUUGUGUGCAACAUCAGACGACAUGCACCUGCAUUGUAUGUUUUAAUGAUGCCAUUUUCUGGAUGAGCGAAUUGCAACGGAAGUAGUAAAGAGCAGGGAGGUGCAGAUUCUCUGAUCUUCAGUGAGGAUGCCUACAUAAUUCCACAAAUAAUAGUUACUUGCCAUGGUGGUAUUAUUGUUAAUGUUAGAAAAAUUUUCCAGUGAAAAUUACUGUGUUGCUGUCAUUUUAAACUGCUGUAUAAGACAAUAAAAUAAAUGGCAGUAAGAAAUUAAA